rnacentral:rRNA from 1 species
ACCGGCGGCUCGAGUGGUGGCCACUAUUACUGGGCUUAAAGCGUUCGUAGCUGGCUUGUUAAGUCUCUGGGGAAAUCUUCCGGCUCAACCGGAAGGCGUCUCAGGGAUACUGGCAGGCUAGGGACCGGAAGAGGUGAGAGGUACUCCAGGGGUAGGAGUGAAACCCGGUGAUCCCUGGGGGGCGAAAUGUAGGGAAGGCGUCUCACCAGGAGGGCUCCCACAGUGAGGAACGAGAGCUGGGAGAGCAAGGCG